CCUAGUUCUUUCUCACAACUAACACCCAAAGAUAACCGAUUAACUGAGCUUAAUAAGCGUAUAAUGAAUUAUAAACCGGGCUGUGCGCGCGGCACGUGCUCACACUCGUGUAGGCGGGAAGUGAAUCAACUCCUGCGCGAGGCAUCGGCGCUUUAGCCACCGAGGACGAACCGAAAAGUGAAAACUUAAUCUAAAAACGGUCAAACUGUUUACGCCAAAGCCUGCUCUGUGGCGAAUGAGGUCUCGAAGUACUGCCCUUUAGGCAAACAUGUUUAAACGGUCAAUUAAAAGGUUAUGAAAUCCUACGAUACAACCCGACGAUCGAUGACAUUUGUGCAGUGCGGGUGGCUGCUGAGUGACAUCCUGGUCAUUGUGUCUCCUGCUUUGUGCUGUCUGCUUCCUGAGGUGGGAUCCAGGCUCAGUGCUCACCUAUGUUAAGUAAAACAGUUCUGUGUAAAGGAAGUCUGAAUUCCAGAUAUGGAACCUGUUGUCCUAGGUAUAAGGAAUAAAUAUCUAAAUAAUGUUCGGACGCACCCACAUAUUCGUGAACAAUUUUUUCUCCUGACUGUCUGUCUCCUGACUCACACCUGUCUUUGUGAGUUCAAAGUUUACUUGAGGACAAUAGAGAAAUUACAUUACAAAGGCAGUCAAUGGGACUGAUCCCUCCGGUGAACGACCUCUGCCUGCCCUUCGACUGUUCUUUUGGAUCGCCCUGUCGGACUUGAUUACCCACGGUUAAUUUAAUAAACCGUUUAGCCACUGCACUUCGGGGUCCUCCACUCCUGCUGUACAUCACAGCCUUGUCUUACUUGAAUACUACACUACACAUCCCUUAAUCAUAUGAAGACAGCAUUUCAUACAUUGCUUGAAAAAAUGGAACUUAACAGUAACAGCCAGAUAAUAUGAGAACACUAAGAACACUGAUGCCUUUGAACACCAGUCUGUUAUGUAUACCAGCAUCCACCCAUGAAUGCCCAGUGGUUGGGGUCUUCUAGGUGAUGCUUUGAAGAUUUUAAUAUAGUAAAUUUCUAAACUUUGAUUAAGAAAUUCCUCUGUGACCCAGACCAGGAUUAGCAGUUGGCUUGAUGGAGGAAUAGGUGGAUGGAUGAUAUAAAAGUGAUUUCUAUUUUGAAAUUCUAGAACUAUACUUGCUCUUGAUAUUUUCUUUGAGUAAAUAAAGGAAGUAGAUGCAACUAAUAAAAAUACAGAUAAUUUGAGGGAAGGAGUUAAUUAACUUCUCCAUUAAAGAAUUUGAGGUAAAAUUGUACCUCAUUUGAUUCGGUCUGUGACCUUUAGACACACAGACACUAACACAUUCUCUAAGGCCACAGCAGGCCACAUUCUCUGAGACCACAGCAGCUUCAGACAGCUGCAUGAUCAAUCUUCACCAUCUCUCACAGGAGAA